ensembl:lncRNA
CAAAGAUGCCGGAGUGAUGGCUGAGGAGGGAGCUCAGCAGACAGAAGAGGACACAUUUUCCACGCAUAAAACCGCUUUGGCCACCAAGCCAGUCGUCAAGCUAGAAUGAACAAAGAACUGCCAUCUGCUCUGCCCCUUAUAUAAGAAAAACACCACCAGAAAGAUGUCUCCAUUGCUAGGAGGAAACCACCAGGAAACCGACAAAUCUAGUUUAAAGCCCAAAUCAAAUCAUUUGCUGGAGAGAAUCUCUUGUACUGAAUGGAAGCUUCACCCAUCAAUCAAAAGCUGAUUGGUCAAUGAGCUGAGGCAGGAAAUAGGAGGUUGGAGUUUCGACAGAGAGAGGAACUCUGGGAUAGAGUCACGUUGCAAGCAUUCAACCAGAACUCUGAGGAAGCCGGCCACGUGAAACUGAAGCUGUCUAUUCAUCUGUGAAAGAAGGGAAGAAAGUGACUACUCUUUAUCUGGGAGAAGAAAUGAAGUGCUGCUACUUACUCUUUGUGGCUACGGAUGCUCAAGUAGAGAUGCGAUGAGUGGUUUUGAAGUCUUUUCUUGAUGAUGAGAUCUAAUUUAGCACACUGUGCUAAAUGUCAUACAGUAGGACAGCAGGCCAGAGGUAGACACCAGACAGGAGGGAAGGACGAUCAUCUAAUUCCAGAACACUGAGAACAGUGGGAGUGGAUGACUUUACAAAUAAUCAGCAGAAACCAUCACGUCAGAAUGCUCUGAACCACAAAAGCUGAAACUCCCACAGUCUGAGACCUCCCACAGCUCACAACAGAAGACCCCAUGAAGGCCAGCCUCUCCUGUGUUCUCUCCAUGGCAUCGCUUCCAGAUUCUUAAGAACUUUACGUUUUGUGUUUACUUCUGUCAUCCCUUGGUCUCUUUGUGAGGCCAUUCAUCAAUCAUUCUUAAGUCUACUCCAUGCAACAGAACAAAAUUUCCUUGUUUAAAACUAGCCCAGUCCCAGACAUUUUGAAAGAGGAGUCUGGGAUUUCUGCUUACAUUUCUUUAGCGAUACACGGUUAGAUAUUUAGACAAGGUAAGCAGUUGUUCCAGUCUACGACCCACUCCUACUUGAACCUCACAGUUCAUGCUCACUGAGGUCCACGGCUCUCCGUGUCUAUGUCUGACAGCUGUUCACCUUGAAUGGGCUGAGCUAAAAUGCCUUUAGCCCAGCUUUCGUGUCUUAAUACCAUACUCUCCUCCUGUAAGCCCCAGUCCCCCCUGUCUUUCUAAUCUACUUUUUUUUUUCAAACUGCUAAGAUAGCUUCCCUCUGAGCUCUCACUUUGCUAUCUCCAUGGACAAAGAUUCUAGGCAUUAAACCUACACCUAGUUGAUGGUGCCUUAGCUCUGAACAUGCCUGUUUAUCCAUAUGAGCAACAGUCUGCAGCAUCUCACAGGAUGUCAAGUGCUAUGUGUUUAAAACUAAAUGUGAUCUUUUUUCUCAAAAUCUCUUCUUCUUGGGUAUUUAACACACUGAGACAUCAGGUGCCCAUUUCCCCUGGUAAAUGGUAGGCACAUGAGCAAUCAUCGGUAUCCUUACAUGCUUUCUGCUGUAUUCCUGAUACCUCAUCAAUCACUGGAUGAAGCUGAUUUUCUUCUUGCAUUAAACCUCCCUGUUCCCCUUCCUAUCUACUGCUGUGACCUUCAGACUAAAGCACACAUUCCCUUACUUGAGCAACUUGAGAAGUUGCUUCUUCAUCAGGAUCAGAUCUCUAAAGAGCAUCUUCCACCUACGGUCUAUUUCCCACUCGAGAGCCGGAGUGCCACCGUAACAGCAUGACGGCCAUUGGCAAUUAAGAGACUGAGCUGUAACGUGACUUGUGUUUGGUUGCUGUUUCCCGGCCUACCUCUGUUCUUGAGUGAGGGUGAGCUUCUUUUGUUAAGGGGGUCGAAAUUUCGGCCAAAUCCUUCUACAGUGUUUUCCAGUCCAGUCUUCCUCAAGGGUACCACACGAUGUCAUGGAAAUCUCACCUGCACUUCUCAGAGUCGUCUCUAUGCACAUUAAUGGCCGGUGGAUAAUUGCUGACAGGCAGUGCUGGACUGAAGUGAAAUUCAAGACCCUACCUACUGGAAUUUGAUAGCUCUUCUAGAUGACACACCCCAUACCCUGAUGCCCUAGUAGGUCUACAUGGUGACUUCAUUAACUUACAGAAUGACCAUGAAAUGUUUUGGGUCAGGCUGUGUUACGGAAAAGUUCUUACUGUAUUUUUUAAGCAUAAAUGUCCAUAUGUCUCUUGGUAAACCCUUCUACUACUGUCUUUGCCCUUGGGGUAUCAUUUCUAAUCGCAUUGGCUGUAAAAUGCAGUUUCAACCUCAAAACCCCUACAACAGGCAGUUGGCACAGAUGCAUGAUCAAUCCACUUCCUUGAAAGUCUACAGUGAUUGUGGGGCUAGGGACAUUUGCAUGUCCUUCUGAAAGGCAUUUAGAUUAAUUUUCAAUUGAAAUGAGGGCCAGAGAGAUGGCUCAGAGAUCAAAGCAUAGUUGCUGCUUUUUCCAGACAGAGGAACUGAAUUGAGUUUCCAGCAACCAAAUUGAGCAACUCAGUAACCAUCACUCCAACACUCCAAUGCCCGUGAAUCUGAUGCUUCCUCUGGCCUCUACAAGCAACCCCUAACACACACACACACACACACACACACACACACACACACACACACACACACACACACACAGAGAGAGAGAGAGAGAGAGAGAGAGAGAGAGAGAGAGAGAGAGAGAGAAAUACACAUACCAAAACAAAAAUUUACAACAUCUUUAAACAGUUGAAACGGUGUAAUUCAUAAAUAUGUCAAUGGGAAGGAAAGACUGAGAUUCUUGCAAAGUGACUGCUUCGUCACGGCCCUGCAGUCCUCUCUCCUGCCCAUUCGGUGGCUUUAUGAACGUGCAUGGCUUCUCCCUACGCAAAGGUUAGAAGCAGACAUUCUCUGUGUCUAAGACGAUUUUGCUUUUAUACCUGAUUACCACCUUGUUGCUUUGCCCCACGUAGACUCUACUCCCCAUUAAGGCACACCUAACCAUUUAGCUUUUGUUCAACUUUUUAACUGUCAGAUAGAAACCUUUUCCCCUCUCUCAGCCUACCCACUCUUCCUAUCCACCCAUUUUUGACCUCUCCCAUUCUGUAAAUCUUUAUCAAGCAUCAGCCUUUCCUCAGGAAGCUCCAGUAGCUCAUAGGCCUGAGUUUCUAGAGUGAAGCAGCUGGCUAAUGAACGGAAGGAGAGGAUAACAGAGGUGAAAAAUAAUGUUCGGUGCUAAGUUGGAGAAAAUGAUGAGACUACCCCUAAGGAAGAACAGUUAGGUUGGAAGGAAGGAAAAAACAACUCUUAUUCUGAGAUUAUGGUGAGCCGUUCAAAGACCAAUGCCUAGCAUGUGAGCUAUCUGCUAUCUGGAUAACCAUUGGUGAAUCAUUGGCAGAAGUGUGAUUCAAGAACCAGGAGAUUACUUAACAGCUCCAAGGUGCAGGAUAGAAUCAAAACAAAACAAAACAAAACAAAACAGAAAGUUAAAGAUUAGCAUAUUUGAAGGGCAUGCUAGAAAGACUAUGUCAGAACAGAAAAUUUUCUCCUACAUUUUGUAUGUUAUGCCACUUGGAAAAGGAGAAUAUUUCUUCAAUUUAUAUCCUGUAUCCAAGGAAGAGAUCCGUGAUGUCCGUCAUGUAAUGGGAGAAGGGUGAGUGACACAACCAGCAUGGAAAUGCAUGUGCCUAAAGUAAGGUUCAAUUCUUGCUUGCUAUAUUACUGCUCUCUAAAUGUCCAACAUGGAACCUUAAUUAGCCAAUUAAAUCUUGCUUCUUUAUCUUUUCUAUUUCUAAAAAUAUUCUUGAGCUGUCUUCAGAGGUGGAAAAAACUCCCAUCUAUCAGUAACAAGACGUGAAAAUAUUAUUUAGUAGAAGCUUGUCUGCACAGUGACUGAGUCAGAGCACAGCCAGAUUCCUGAAAUCUACGGGAAAGGCCAGCACUCACUGCCUUCCCUCCAUUUUCAGUGGGUUUGUAGAUAGGAUCUUCUGUAACGUUAUACUCCAGCUUUGCACAAGAGGGCAGCAGAAAGGCAGAGAAGGCCCCGGAGAAGCAGAGCUGAGGUUCCUAAAGCUAUAAUUUUGGGCGUAGUAUUUUCAAAACCAUGCUUCAAAAAUCAAAUCACAUCCGUAAGCUUUUAAAAUAACCCCAGUCAGUCCAAUUGCCUGUGUCUCUUUGAAAGAAAAAUCAGAUCUACGUCUUAUAGGUGAGUGUGUUUUCGUCUGGAGGGGUUUGUCAGGGCUGUCUGCUUUGCCCAGAUUAGGUUCCCUGAUUUUCCUUGGGAGGUCACAGUUUGACAAAUGAGCACUUAGGAAUCACACUGCCUUACGUUUGUUUCCUAGCCCUUUAAAGACAGUUAGUCUGAGCACAGUCCAAGUGACAAUGCUUUGUUUUUGAUCCACAGAAAGGAAUCAAGCUUUUAUUAUAUACAAUUUGAAUAAAAGAUUGAGGAAAUAACAUUCAAUAUUUUGAGGUUCUGUCUUAGGAUGCAGUAAAAAUACCAAGUUAAUUUGAAUAUUGUGAACAAAAUGUGUUCUGGGACUGCAGAGGCUCAUACCUCAGGCUGCAGGCUUCCUGUCCCUUGUGGGGCCUUUGUUCUCACACCCUGAAGUCCCCCCAUGCCCCACUCCCAUCAGCCUCCAGCUCACUUUUCUGCCCCACCCACUCUUUUGCCUGAGGAAAAUCCCAAGCCCCUCUGAUCUCAGAGGGGAGGAAGCUCCUCCACACAGGCUUCCCGGUACCGGUAGGUUCGUCCACAAAUCUCUUAUUUUCGUCUAUGAUGCCUGUAGGCUUCUAUGGACACUGUGCUCUUGAUUUUAGGUCCAGCACCCAAUACCAGCUACUCGGUAAAGACCCAAAUAAAACAAAAGGAGUAGGUACUUAGAAUCUUUUUCAGUGAUCUGGUUAGGAAUUAGGAACAGAUACAGGUUUUUUUUUUAACCUGUAAAGAGGUCAAAGGAUUUGUUACCCUGCCUGUUUUAAGAGUUGGGUGCCAGUUAAGCAUUUUAGCUCAGAGCAAAAAUAAUCUCUCAGGGCACAUCUCAUAUCUCAGAGACUCGGGUGAGAUGAGUAGCCCUUGGGUGUGUUGUUAGUGUGGGUGGGGUGGGGUUAGCAAUGGGGUUAGUACUGAUUCGAGCUAGAAGUGUUGUACAGAGCUAAGUGCUAAGGGCAUGAACACAGCAUAUGUGUUGCAAAACAAACGGAGCAUAGACCUUGGAGGGAUCUUAGCAGAACUCCUUGGUGGAAGCUUUCUGGUUGUUAAGGUGAUUCUCUCAAGGGCAUCUGCGUGUGCUGGAGGUCAUUGCUGCACUCAGCACGGUGGGGAGAGGGGGAGCUGUUUCUAGAGAAGACUCAGCUUGCUGCUAGCCUUCUUAGCAUCUUGUUGCUAGGCAACGGCUCCUCUGCGAAAGCUCAUCUCUCUUUUUAAAAAUGGAGUUAGGUCUUGCUGAGGGAAAUAUAGUUUGUAUAAAAUUGAACCAUAUGCAAACACCAUUUAGUUCCAGUCUUUAAAACUGCUUUCCCCUACAAGGACGAGAGACAAUUUUUACUUAAAACUCAUUACAUAGCAACCAUGUACUAUACCCUCUCCCUACUGCAAAGCAAUAUACUUCCUUUUUAAUCUUAUUGAUUUAUUUUUACCUCCCUACCCAUAUGCCUUUCCAAAAUGAUUUAAUGAGAUUCAGAAGGGCAUUGUUCCUGAUAGUAUUUCCCUAGACUGCUGAAUUAAUUUCCAUUUGAAAAAUUACAUAGGAUUUGCAACUCCUAGCCAGCACGUAGUCUGUUGCUUUAAGAGCAAUGUUAUGUUACGUAAUGAAAAGAUGCUGUGGGCUGUCAGUGUGAAGGAGUAACAUGUAAAGAAUGUAAUUUAUAAAUCAGGUUGUAGACAACUUUUACUAUUUGUAUGUAUUUGAAAUGCCAGACUUUAAAAUUUAAAGAAUUAUAGACUAGUUAUUGAUUUCAGAACUACAAAUUAUCCUAAGGCGUUAAGAAUUUUUGGCAUUAACAUUUUACCAUUUUAUAGUGUUGGCCAGUUCAGAGCCAAAUUUGUAAUUUUCCUUGAUUUUCUUGUGACAGACUCUUUUGGAAGCCAAUGACCAAAUGCUUUCUCCCCCCCCCUUUUGUUUGUUUAAUUUCUAAAAAGCUACAGUUAUAGUGUGUCUUGAAAUUAUUUUUAUAAGAAGCUUUAAAUUCUCUACCAUUAUUUUUGUGUGUGUGUGAUUUACAUUGCAAAACCUUGUGCUCAGCACAAAACAUUUUUUUUCAGUUUUGAGUUUGAUUCUGGAAGCCUGACAUGUGGCUGACAACCAACACCAAUCGUUUGAUUAGAAACCGCCGAGUUCCGAAUGCUUGCAUGUAUGUAGUGAUGUUAAAAUGGUGUCUGGGCUGGGGAUUUAGCUCAGUGGUAGAGCGCUUACCUAGGAAGCGCAAGGCUCUGGGUUCGGUCCCCAGCUCCGAAAAAAAGAACCAAAAAAAAAAAAUAAAUGGUGUCUGUACGAAAAAGAUUCUUAAGGACAUUCGAGACAAUGUACAAGGGAGAAGAGUGGGGUUGGAAAGGUUCAAGUUUGAAGACAGGGAUAGAAGAGAGGCAGAGGGAAGGGAGGGAAAUAUGUUGGGGUUUAAAUCUCGGCUCGCGUCCAGACAGAACGCCCUAAACCAACAUGGCUCCACGUGAAAAGGUUUAAUGAGAGAAGAGUAGAAGAGUAGAGGAAAGGCUGGCCAUGAGCACGUGGAGGGUAGUGGGGAGGGAAAUGGGGAGAGAAGGGGCAAAGGGAAGAGCAGGGAAGAGAAGAGAGCAAAGAGCAAGAGAGCUAGGAGGGGCCAAGCAGCCCUGUAUAUAGUGUCAGGCACAGCUGGCUGUUGCCAGGCAACUGUGGGGCGGAGCAUACCUGGCUGUUGCCAGGUAGCUGUGGGGGUGGAGCUUAGACAGAAUACCAACAAAAUCAACGAAAAUUAACAAUUUAUGAAAGAGCCAUAAGAAAAAUCCGAUAAUGGGUAAGCUAAUGAAAAAGACAGUUUUAGAAGAGGUACUCUACAUACUAGAUAAAUGUACUCACACUUGCUGUAGUUUAUUGUAAAAUAAUCCCAGUGCCAGAGUGCGCUACCCCCUUAGAAAUUGAGAUCCCUAAGACUCACAGACAAAUGUCACCACUGUUGGUUGUCCACCAGAACUUAAGACCCUGUUAUUAAAGGUACCAUAUGAUCUGGUCACUGGACAUAAAGAAAUCAAGAUGGCAAGCCCUCACGAUGCCAAGAGGUGCUUGGCAGGCUACUGAGAGAAAUUGUUAUCAAUGGUCUUGCACAGGACAUGGACACUGACUGGUCAGUCAGGAUGUGGCGACUGCUUCAACAAUGCUGGUGUACUAUGAGGGUAACCAAAUACUUUUGGGUUAGCUUUAAGGCUGACUAUACAGGGGGGAGUUCAUACUUGGUGCUAUAAAACCUAGUCAAAGACCAUAGCUGGAGAGGUUAUGUAAGCCCUAGUGGGGAAGCUACUUUCAUUGCUUUGCUAAAAGGAUUUGAUGUGCUGGUCAAAUUGCCUUUCUAGAUAACUGUGCCUAUAGCCAUAGGUCAGUGCCGUUGCCAGGUUUGGUCAGAGAAGCUUCUCUCUAUUGUGACCUGCAGUAGCUGCAAAGACUCAGGUCAAAGUGCUGACAGUAAGUGACUCUGGAAUGAGCAGCCAUCAAUGGGAUCUCUGUAUCACCCCCCCAAAAGGCCUAGAGAACUUGUAAAAGAAGGAGGAAAAAGAAUGUAAUAGUUGAAGGAAGGAGAAGAGUAUAGAACACUGACUUUGGGCUAUACUGUGGCUGUUGCACUCUUGGACUCAGAGAACAAGAUUAUCUGCACAAGACUGUGCUCCUCAUCAUCUUGUUGUUACCCAGAAGGUGCUCACAGAGCCCUACUACUCUUUGAGGAUUUGUAUGCAGUUAUUGGCUGAGGGGAGAAACAGAGUGUGGUGAUUUGAAUAUGCUUGGCCCAUUAGGAGGUGUGGCCUUUUUGGAGGAAGUGUGUCACUGUGUAGGUGGGCUUUGAGGUCCUAUGCUCAAACUUUACUUGGUGUGGAAGAGUCUCCUUCUGGCUGCAUUUGGAUCAAGAUGUAGAACUCUCAGCUCCUUCUAGAGCACCAUGCCUGCCUGGCGUGAAGCCAUGCUUCCCACCAUGAUGAUAAUGGGCUGAGCCUUUGAAACCAUAAGCCAGACCCAGUUUUUUAAAUAAGAGUUGCCUUGAUCAUGGUGUAUCUUUGUAGCAAUGAAAGGCUAAAUAAGACAGAGACUUUUUUUUCCGUGUUGUAGCCACUGAUAAGCUGCCCACGGUCCUGUCAACAAGCCCUCAUCUAUGUUCCUGUAGUAGGCCCCAGUGAAAAUCAUGGGUCAUUUAAAAGAAUGAGUAUAGAUAAGGGGUUGUUUUAAUUGGACAUCAGCAGUGAAAGGAAGAACAAGAAAAUAAUGGGAUAGGUAUGGUCAAUAAUGUUACAUACAGAUAUAGAAAUGUCAUAAUGAAACCUUAUAUAUAACUGAUACUUGCUAAUAAAAUGAUUUUGAAUAAAG